UUACGGCCACAUCCUGCUGAAACGCAGAUUUCCGUACGAUCAUCGAAGUUAAGGAACGUCGAUCCUGGUCAGUACCUACAUGGGUGACCGCUUGGGAAUAUCAGGUGCUGUAA